rnacentral:rRNA from 1 species
GCUUAACCCCAGACCUGCAUUCGAUACGGGCGAGCUUGAGUAUGGUAGGGGAGUCUGGAAUUCCUGGUGUAGCGGUGGAAUGCGCAGAUAUCAGGAGGAACACUAAUGGCGAAGGCAGGACUCUGGGCCAUUACUGACACUGAGGAGCGAAAGCGUGGGGAGCGAACAGGAUUAGAUACCCUGGUAGUCCACGCCGUAAACGGUGGGCACUAGUUGUGGGGACCUUCCACGGUCUCUGCGACGCAGCUAACGCAUUAAGUGCCCCGCCUGGGGAGUACGAUCGCAAGAUUAAAACUCAAAGGAAUUGACGGGGCCCCGCACAAGCAGCGGAGCAUGCGGCUUAAUUCGACGCAACGCGAAGAACCUUACCAAGGCUUGACAUAUAGGGAAAAGUGGCAGAGAUGUCAUGUCCGCAAGGGCUCUAUACAGGUGGUGCAUGGUUGUCGUCAGCUCGUGUCGUGAGAUGUUGGGUUAAGUCCCGCAACGAGCGCAACCCUCGUUCUGUGUUGCCAGCAUUUAGUUGGGGACUCACAGGAGACUGCCGGGGUAAAUCGGAAGAAGUGGGGAUGCGUCAAUCAUCAUGCCCUU